UGGUAGGGACAGUCUGAAUGUCAAAAGCUG
rnacentral:piRNA from 1 species